AUGGCAUGGCUAGGUCGUUCUUGGCACCAGCUUCAGGCCAGGGUGGUACUCAGUUGCCUCCAGCAACAUGGGCAUGUCCAAAUGGUACCACCAAAGAAGAGGAGGAAGACUACUAAAACAUCCGAGUCAUUCAUUGUGCGAGGAGGUGAUGACGCGCCGGUAGCCGCUAUGUAUUUUCCACCAAGCCAAAACUUGGAAACUACAACCAAGAAGAAGGGAAAGCAUAACCAAACAUUGGAGACUACAAUCAAGAAAAAUGCAAAAGGGGGGAAAGGUCACCUUUUCUGUUUCUGGAUUUUAAUAUCACAUAUUAUGCAUAGUUGA
rnacentral:rRNA from 1 species